UCACAGUGAUGAAUCAAAUUUUCAGUUCUGCUACCGAAUGUGCAUGAGCGAUAAACGAAUAUACCAAUAAACUCUCUGAUUC
rnacentral:snoRNA from 1 species